GGCUGGUGGUAUGAGUGCAUUUACAACUAAUGGAUCAUAAUCAAUUACUGAUUUCUUUGUUUGUUCUUCAUUUCCACUGCUUCACUCAACCAGCCUUAA
ensembl:Y_RNA Y_RNA Y RNA